AACGUAGGUUCCGAGCGUUAUCCGGAUUUACUGGGCGUAAAGCGCGUUCAGGCGGUUUGGCAAGUCGGGCAUGAAAUCUCUCGGCUCAACCGGGAGAGGUUGUCCGAUACUUCCAGACUUGAGGGCAGUAGAGGGUGGUGGAAUUCCGGGUGUAGUGGUGAAAUGCGUAGAUAUCCGGAGGAACACCAGUGGCGAAAGCGGCCACCUGGACUGCACCUGACGCUGAGACGCGAAAGCGUGGGGAGCAAACAGG
rnacentral:rRNA from 1 species